rnacentral:rRNA from 1 species
GCUCAGGACGAACGCUGGCGGCGUGCUUAACACAUGCAAGUCGAACGGAAAGGCCCUGCUUGCAGGGUACUCGAGUGGCGAACGGGUGAGUAACACGUGGGUGAUCUGCCCUGCACUUCGGGAUAAGCCUGGGAAACUGGGUCUAAUACCGGAUAGGAACCAUCUUUAGUGUGGUGGUUGGAAAGUUUUUUCGGUGUAGGAUGAGCUCGCGGCCUAUCAGCUUGUUGGUGGGGUAAUGGCCUACCAAGGCGGCGACGGGUAGCCGGCCUGAGAGGGUGUACGGCCACAUUGGGACUGAGAUACGGCCCAGACUCCUACGGGAGGCAGCAGUGGGGAAUAUUGCACAAUGGGCGCAAGCCUGAUGCAGCGACGCCGCGUGGGGGAUGAAGGCCUUCGGGUUGUAAACUCCUUUCGCUAGGGACGAAGCUUUCUGUGACGGUACCUAGAUAAGAAGCACCGGCUAACUACGUGCCAGCAGCCGCGGUAAUACGUAGGGUGCGAGCGUUGUCCGGAAUUACUGGGCGUAAAGGGCUCGUAGGUGGUUUGUCGCGUCGUCUGUGAAAUUCUGGGGCUUAACUCCGGGCGUGCAGGCGAUACGGGCAUAACUUGAGUGCUGUAGGGGUAACUGGAAUUCCUGGUGUAGCGGUGAAAUGCGCAGAUAUCAGGAGGAACACCGAUGGCGAAGGCAGGUUACUGGGCAGUUACUGACGCUGAGGAGCGAAAGCAU